rfam:Bacteroides caccae CAG:21 genomic scaffold, scf234
AAUCGGAGACUCUAUAUAAGGUACGAGAUUACCACCGAUAUUCUCCGAGGGAUUAGAACCUCGGCAACAGCAUAAUAAUAUAAUAUAUAUAUUUUAUGGAAAGCCGGAACAUAACAUUAACCAUAUGUGGGGAGUGGCUUGACUUCUCCCCACGAGACCGGAAGGCGGU